CGGUAGUGAGUGGCGAACGGGUGAGUAACACGUAGGUAACUUACCUCUAAGACGAGGAUAACGACUGGAAACGGUCGCUAAAACUGGAUAGGAUCAUUUCGAGGCAUCUCGAAUGAUUUAAAGGGGCUUUCAAGCCACACUUAGAGAAAGGCCUGCGGCGCAUUAGCUAGUUGGUGGGGUAGAGGCCUACCAAGGCGAUGAUGCGUAGCCGGACUGAGAGGUCGAACGGCCACAUUGGGACUGAGACACGGCCCAAACUCCUACGGGAGGCAGCAGUAGGGAAUUUUCGGCAAUGGGGGAAACCCUGACCGAGCAACGCCGGCGUGAAUAGAAGACGUAUUUCGGUAUGUAAAGUUCUUUUAUUAAGGAAGAAUAUCACGGAUAGGAAAUAAUCUGUGAGUGACGGUACUUAAUGAAUAAGCCCCGGCUAACUAUGUGCCAGCCGCUGC
rnacentral:rRNA from 1 species